UUUCAUCUUUGCUUUCAGCUGGAAGAGGCUGCGGUGGACAUGAUGCACCGAGCAGUGAAAAACGCCAGGGUGAGCGCACUGAUCACGUGCACGAGGACGGUGCUGCGUCUGUGCCGCACGCUCCGAGCUGUGUUUGAAGAGCACAGAGGAGCCCGGGGAUGUCCGGGGGUGAGCUGAGCCCGGACGGCAGACGGCACCUGUGAGCGAACCUCAAAAACCUGAGGCUAAGACCCACAAGAUGACCUCUGCAGUCGGAGCAGCAACACAAAGAAACAAAGGCUUUAGCCAGGCUCGCGAAGGCUCAGAGGGGAACUCGUCUGGCCCUUUAGCGUGCACCGUUGUGCUGGAGUCGUUUAAAAUUUGUCUUGAUCGCGUUAAUUCUCAUUGUUUGCUCUGCUCCUCUUUGCAAAGUGAUUUUUUUCAUCCUCGUAAUUUUGCGCAUAUCGCUUCUGAUGAGUUAUCUCUGUGCAGAUUUCUUUUUAAUUUAGCGUAAAAUAAGAAUACAUUUUCUCUUAGA